GCUCAAGGCCUUAAGACAUAAGUAGGAGGGACCAAAGAAGACCCACUGGGACUCUUCCUAAAACAUUCUCCCAGCCUCAUCCUACAGGCAGACUACCUGGUCUCUAAACAGUGAUGAGGCUAAGCCAUCAUGGACUCAAACUGCUGAAACCAUGGGUCUUCCAGACCGAGAGGCACUCUCCACAUCUGGUUCCUUCGGUGUGAGGCCUGAAGCAUCAUCUCGUUCAAUUCUACCAGGUAAAAAUCAAGCACAAGAACAGAGGAAUUCAGAAGGAAAAGAUUUGUGACCAACUGGAAAAGUUCGAACAUGCACAUCUGAGCCCUGGCUUAGCGAUGGCCCCAGGACAUCAUUUCACUAAAAUCUUGUGUAUUGGACUGACUGUGAGUCAUGUAAGCCCAAAGCCACAGCCCAGAAAAGCUACCUAACCACAAGAAGUUGAAUUCAUACAAUCUCAGCCUGUUUGCGUGCUGUGCUCUGUGCCUCAGCUGCAUCUGACGACAUCUACACCCUGCUCUAUU